GUAAGGAUAGCUCAGUGGUUAAGCACGUGACUGCGGUCACGAAUCGCGGGUUCGAAUCCCGUUCCUGAUG
rnacentral:tRNA from 1 species